rnacentral:tRNA from 1 species
GCGCUAUUAGUUUAGUGGUAGAACGCAUCGUUGCCAACGAUGAAACGCGAGUUCGAUUCUCGCAUAGCGCA